AUUGAACGCUGGCGGCAUGCCUUACACAUGCAAGUCGAACGGCAGCACGGGAGCAAUCCUGGUGGCGAGUGGCGAACGGGUGAGUAAUAUAUCGGAACGUGCCCAGUCGUGGGGAUAACGUAGCGAAAGCUACGCUAAUACCGCAUACGAUCUAUGGAUGAAAGCGGGGGAUCGCAAGACCUCGCGCGAUUGGAGCGGCCGAUAUCAGAUUAGGUAGUUGGUGAGGUAAAGGCUCACCAAGCCGACGAUCUGUAGCUGGUCUGAGAGGACGACCAGCCACACUGGGACUGAGACACGGCCCAGACUCCUACGGGAGCAGCAGUGGGGAAUUUUGGACAAUGGGCGCAAGCCUGAUCCAGCAAUGCCGCGUGCAGGAUGAAGGCC
rnacentral:rRNA from 1 species